GAUGAACGCUGGCGGCGUGCCUAAUACAUGCAAGUCGAGCGAACGGACGAGAAGCUUGCUUCUCUGAUGCUAGCGGCGGACGGGUGAGUAACACGUGUAUAACCUACCUAUAAGACUGGGAUAACUUCGGGAAACCGGAGCUAAUACCGGAUAAUAUUUUGAACCGCAUGGUUCAAAAGUAAAAGACGGUCUUGCUGUCACUUAUCGAUGGAUCCGCGCUGCAUUAGCUAGUUGGUAAGGUAACGGCUUACCAAGGCAACGAUGCAUAGCCGACCUGAGAGGGGGAUCGGCCACACUGGAACUGAGACACGGUCCAGACUCCUACGGGAGGCAGCAGUAGGGAAUCUGCCGCAAUGGGCGAAAGCCUGACGGAGCAACGCCGCGUGAGUGAUGAAGGUCUUCGGAUCGUAAAACUCUGUUAUUAGGGAAGAACAUAUGUGUAAGUAACUGUGCACAUCUUGACGGUACCUAAUCAGAAAGCCACGGCUAACUACGUG
rnacentral:rRNA from 1 species